rnacentral:lncRNA from 1 species
UUGAAGCAUUUCUUGUUAAUGCUGCAUUCAGCAGUGUCUAUCCAAUUUCCCUGAAAUCAUUUGUUCCUCUCUUCAUAUCUGAAGCAACAGGAUUUUUUUUCUUACACUUUUAACUAUGACUGGAAUGGAACCCUCAACACCUGUCAGGUAUUUGUCAUUUCCAGUGAUGAAGGCAAGUUUAUCAGCUGAUUUAACCAUUGCCUGUAUAACACAUGGGACAACA